UACGAAGGGGACUAGCGUUGUUCGGAAUCACUGGGCGUAAAGCGCACGUAGGCGGAUUCGUAAGUCAGGGGUGAAAUCCCGGGGCUCAACCUCGGAACUGCCUUCGAUACUGCGGGUCUCGAGUCCGGGAGAGGUGAGUGGAAUUCCUAGUGUAGAGGUGAAAUUCGUAGAUAUUAGGAAGAACACCAGUGGCGAAGGCGGCUCACUGGCCCGGUACUGACGCUGAGGCGCGAAAGCGUGGGGAGCAAACAGG
rnacentral:rRNA from 1 species